CUGUCUGUGUGGCUCUGCUGGAAAAAUAAGAUAGUAUUUCUAAAAUCGGAAGGAGACAGAGAAGAUCCGUGCGGUCCCUGCGCAAGGCAGAGACGCAAACCUAAGACACUAUUUCUAGAGCU
ensembl:snRNA U6 U6 spliceosomal RNA